AUUGAACGCUGGCGGCAUGCUUUACACAUGCAAGUCGAACGGCAGCGCGGGCUUCGGCCUGGCGGCGAGUGGCGAACGGGUGAGUAAUACAUCGGAACGUGCCCAGUAGUGGGGGAUAGCUCGGCGAAAGCCGGAUUAAUACCGCAUACGACCUGAGGGUGAAAGCGGGGGAUCUUCGGACCUCGCGCUAUUGGAGCGGCCGAUGGCAGAUUAGCUAGUUGGUGGGUAAAGGCCUACCAAGGCGACGAUCUGUAUCUGGUCUGAGAGGACGACCAGCCACACUGGGACUGAGACACGGCCCAGACUCCUACGGGAGGCAGCAGUGGGGAAUUUUGGACAAUGGGCGAAAGCCUGAUCCAGCAAUGCCGCGUGUGUGAUGAAGGCCUUCGGGUUGUAAAGCACUUUUGGCGGGAACGAAAAGGACUGUGCCAAUACCACGGUUCGAUGACGGUACCCGCAGAAUAAGCACCGGCUAACUACGUG
rnacentral:rRNA from 1 species